ACUUUCUUGCCACCGGGUAAGAAAGUUAAGCGUCUAAAUUUCUAUCGUUAGGUCUUAGAAGAUAGAAAUAAGGACGCUUAUUUUUU
rnacentral:ncRNA from 1 species